rnacentral:misc_RNA from 1 species
UGAUUGUUAGACUAGGAGGACAGAAGCCAACUAGGACACUAUAUUUAUGAUAAUAAUAUAACAAGGAAUGAGGAGGUCAGCCACCCUUUCCGCAUCAAUUUUCCCUACCAAUCACAGAUACAGUGCAAUAUAAAUACCAAAUAAAUACAUGAAAUUUGAAGUAAAUUCCUGUGUUUCUUUUAUCCCAGAAAUUCAGACCUUCCUAAAACUAUGUACCUACUGAAUGCUUAUCCCCCCCAAGUACCAUUCCAAAUCAUCUCUCACCUCCACUGUCUUCUCUAUGCCUACGCCUCCUACCUGAAUGUCCCAGAAGCACUCUGCCAUGACUGCGAAGGCGGCUUACAAGUGAUAACCCAC